GACGAACGCUGGCGGCGUGCCUAACACAUGCAAGUCGAACGGGGAUUUUGUUUCGGCAGAAUCCUAGUGGCGAACGGGUGAGUAACGCGUAGGCAACCUGCCCCCCGGAUUGGGACAACACCCCGAAAGGGGUGCUAAUACCGGAUACGAAGAUAACACCGCAUGGUGUUAUUUUGAAAGAUGGCCUCUAUUUAUAAGCUAUCGCCGGGGGAUGGGCCUGCGUCCGAUUAGCUGGUUGGUGGGGUAACGGCCUACCAAGGCGACGAUCGGUAGCCGGUCUGAGAGGAUGAACGGCCACAUUGGGACUGAGACACGGCCCAGACUCCUACGGGAGGCAGCAGUGGGGAAUCUUCCGCAAUGGGCGAAAGCCUGACGGAGCAACGCCGCGUGAGU
rnacentral:rRNA from 1 species